rnacentral:misc_RNA from 1 species
AAGUCGUAACAAGGUAACCGUAGGUGAACCUGCGGUUGGAUCAUUAUUAAAUGUCAGCUUUAGAGCUUUCAAAACCGCUUGGGUGACUAGAAAUAGUUAUCCCAAGUCAACCUUGUGUGAACCGUUGAUUGUAUUUGGCAAUUCCAAUUUAUUGGGUUGCCACCUUUAUUAAACACCUUUUAUAACCCGUCUUAAUCAAAUAAUAUAAAUUUGAAACAACUUUUGACAACGGAUCUCUUGGCUCUC